GUUUCCGUAGGUGAACCUGCGGAAGGAUCAUU
rnacentral:ncRNA from 13 species